UACAGAGGGUGCGAGCGUUGUCCGGAAUCACUGGGCGUAAAGGGCGCGUAGGCGGCGCGGUAAGCGUGCGGUGAAAGCCCGGGGCUCAACCCCGGGUCGGCCGUGCGGACUGCCGGGCUGGAGCACUGUAGAGGCAGGUGGAAUUCCGGGUGUAGCGGUGAAAUGCGCAGAUAUCAGGAAGAACACCCGUGGCGAAGGCGGUUCUCUGGGACGGUACUGACGCUGAGACGCGAAAGCGUGGGGAGCGAACAGG
rnacentral:rRNA from 1 species